GCCAGACUCCUACGGGAGGCAGCAGUGAGGAAUAUUGGUCAAUGGGCUUACGCCUGAACCAGCCAAGUCGCGUGAGGGAAGACUGCCCUAUGGGUUGUAAACCUCUUUUGUCAGGGAGCAAUUGGCGCUACGUGUAGCGUUAUCGAGAGUACCUGAAGAAAAAGCAUCGGCUAACUCCGUGCCAGCAGCCGCGGUAAUACGGAGGAUCCGAGCGUUAUCCGGAUUUAUUGGGUUUAAAGGGAGCGUAGAUGGGUUGUUAAGUCAGUUGUGAAAGUUUGCGGCUCAACCGUAAAAUUGCAAUUGAUACUGGCAGUCUUGAGUACAGUUGAGGUAGGCGGAAUUCGUGGUGUAGCGGUGAAAUGCGUAGAUAUCAGGAGGAACACCGGCGGCGAAGGCGGCCUGCUGGACCGUGACUGACGUUGAGGCUCGAGAGCGUGGGGAGCAACCAGGAUUAGAUACCCGAGUACA
rnacentral:rRNA from 1 species